rnacentral:rRNA from 1 species
GACGAACGCUGGCGGCGUGCUUAACACAUGCAAGUCGAACGGAAAGGCCCUGCUUUUGUGGGGUGCUCGAGUGGCGAACGGGUGAGUAACACGUGAGUAACCUGCCCUUGACUUUGGGAUAACUUCAGGAAACUGGGGCUAAUACCGGAUAGGAGCUCCUGCUGCAUGGUGGGGGUUGGAAAGUUUCGGCGGUUGGGGAUGGUCUCGCGGCUUAUCAGCUUGUUGGUGGGGUAGUGGCUUACCAAGGCUUUGACGGGUAGCCGGCCUGAGAGGGUGACCGGCCACAUUGGGACUGAGAUACGGCCCAGACUCCUACGGGAGGCAGCAGUGGGGAAUAUUGCACAAUGGGCGGAAGCCUGAUGCAGCAACGCCGCGUGCGGGAUGACGGCCUUCGGGUUGUAAACCGCUUUCGCCUGUGACGAAGCGUGAGUGACAGUAAUGGGUAAAGAAGCACCGGCUAACUACGUG